rnacentral:rRNA from 1 species
CCCAGACUCCUACGGGAGUCAGCAGUGGGGGAUAUUGCACAAUGGGGGGAACCCUGAUGCAGCGACGCCGCGUGGGUGAAGGAGCGUUUCGGCGCGUAAAGCCCUAUCGGCAGGGAAGAAGGAGGACGGUACCUGACUAAGAAGCCCCGGCUAACUACGUGCCAGCAGCCGCGGUAAUACGUAGGGGGCAAGCGUUAUCCGGAUUUACUGGGUGUAAAGGGGGCGCAGACGGCAGCGCAAGCCAGGAGUGAAAGCCCGGGGCCCAACCCCGGGACUGCUCUUGGAACUGCGCGGCUGGAGUGCAGGAGGGGCAGGCGGAAUUCCUGGUGUAGCGGUGAAAUGCGUAGAUAUCAGGAGGAACACCGGUGGCGAAGGCGGCCUGCUGGACUGCGACUGACGUUGAGGCCCGAAAGCGUGGGGAGCAAACAGGAUUAGAUACCCUCGUA